AUAGCGUAUAUUAAAGUUGUUGCAGUUAAAAAGCUCGUAGUUGAACCUUGGGUCUGGCUGCUCGGUCCGCCUAACCGCGUGCACUGAUGCGGCCGGAUCUUUCCUUCUGGCUAACCUCAUGCCCUUUACUGGGUGUGCUGGGGAUCCAGGACUUUUACUUUGAAAAAAUUAGAGUGUUCAAAGCAGGCCUUUGCUCGAAUACAUUAGCAUGGAAUAAUAGAAUAGGACGGCGGUUCUAUUUUGUUGGUUUCUAGAGCCACCGUAAUGAUUAAUAGGGAUAGUCGGGGACAUCAGUAUUCAAUUGUCAGAGGUGAAAUUCUUGGAUUUAUUGAAGACUAACUACUG
rnacentral:rRNA from 1 species